UACGUAGGCAGCAAGCGUUGUUCGGAAUUACUGGGCGUAAAGCGAGUGUAGGCGGCUCACCAAGUCUGUUGUGAAAUCUCCCGGCUCAACUGGGAGGGUGCGGCGGAAACUGGUGGACUAGAGUACGAGAUGGGAGAGUGGAAUUCCUGGUGUAGCGGUGAAAUGCGUAGAUAUCAGGAGGAACACCGGUGGUGAAGACGGCUCUCUGGAUCGUGACUGACGCUGAGACUCGAAAGCGUGGGGAGCAAACAGG
rnacentral:rRNA from 1 species